UCCUGCAAAAAUUUUACUUCAUGCAAAUCCUAAAUCUCCUUUCAGGAUUUCGUUGUUAUUGUUCUGGAGGCGCCUGGGGCGCUUUGUCCUGAGGCAGAGCUGGCUCGGAGGGAAGGGAAGGGAGCGGGAGCAGCCGCGUGUGGCAGAGCAUCAUCUCCGGUCCUGGGCGUCCCUCUAGAGGUGAAACAGCAGCGCUUAAACACGRAGACACGGCCGGGCUGGCAAGCAGGGAUAGGAGUGUGAGCUCUCAGCAACUGUCCCGUAUCCGAGCAGGUCUCACUCGGCUGCUACAAACUCCGGGUUGCAGYAGGCAUCGACUGGCACCGACAUGAGCUGCCCGGAGCUGAGCACGGGCUCUGCUGCUGCACCCGGCCCUGCCUCGCCCGCAGCUCCUUMAGCCCCGAGGCGGAAGAUUUCAAUGUACGAGCUCCAUGCCACCACAUGCCACUGUCCCUGACCAAUCAUCUCCAGUCACAAAUUCACACCAACAUUGCUGAGGCCAAGAACCAACAGAAGAAAACUAGGGAAAGAAAAAGCAACUCAAACACAUAAAUAUAUGCAUCAGCUCCUGAGAUACAGAUCUAACCUCCCAGCAACUACAAAGAGAAGCCAGAUCACCCACAAUGUCUGAAACUGUGUUAGGACUAUAAUCUGUGAAUUACAGGUCCAUAAAUUGUAAUACUUCUGCAGCAUCCUCUUUAGAAGAUUCCACAAAAAAAAUGUUACAAGCAUUUUAGUCCAGAUUUCACAGGUUACAUUCUAGUCUGUUUUGGAUGUAGUUCAGGAUAAUAAUUUUUCUUGGUGAGUUCCAAGAAUAACGGUGUUUCUUGCUACUUGGCACCUUUUCAAAGCACAGACAGCAGCUCUCACAGCCAAUUUCACUCCCCCCUGAGACACAUAUUUGCUUAAGUAAUCCAGGGUCAUUUACAGAAUGAGGAUACCAACUGCAAAAUGGUUCUGUAACAUUUAAUUCUGCUAUUUUCUCAGGUUCUAUAUACUACGCAUACUUCACGUGUCUUGCUAAUGAAAAUGUAACU